rnacentral:rRNA from 1 species
CCUACGGGGGGCAGCAGUGGGGAAUAUUGGACAAUGGGGGGAACCCUGAUCCAGCCAUGCCGCGUGUGUGAAGAAGGCCCUCGGGUUGUAAAGCACUUUCAGUGAGGAAGAACGCCUGGUGGUUAAUACCCAUCAGGAAAGACAUCACUCACAGAAGAAGCACCGGCUAACUCCGUGCCAGCAGCCGCGGUAAUACGGAGGGUGCGAGCGUUAAUCGGAAUUACUGGGCGUAAAGCGCGCGUAGGUGGCUUGAUGAGCCGGUUGUGAAAGCCCCGGGCUCAACCUGGGAACGGCAUCCGGAACUGUCAAGCUAGAGUGCAGGAGAGGAAGGUAGAAUUCCCGGUGUAGCGGUGAAAUGCGUAGAGAUCGGGAGGAAUACCAGUGGCGAAGGCGGCCUUCUGGACUGACACUGACACUGAGGUGCGAAAGCGUGGGUAGCAAACAGGAUUAGAUACCCCAGUAGUC